UCUGGUAGCCAUAGCGAGUGGGAACCACCCGAAACCAUUUCGAACUCGGAAGUGAAACGACUCAGCGCCGAUGAUAGUGUGAGGUCUCCUCAUGUGAAAGUAGGACACUGCCAGGC
rnacentral:rRNA from 1 species